CAGACUAAGGACCAUACUCCCUCUCUGAAAUGGUUAGUCAGACAAGUAGUCAAUGGGAAUCCUUACAUGAGUCCUCUUCCGCAGAUAACCAAUGACCAUUUUACAACCAUGAAGCUAUUUGAGAGAGAUUCUUGACCUGAACAAAUGCCUCUAUCUUGGCACAUAGAAGAAAAAUACCUGUGGUGAAAUAAGAAAAAAGAAUCCUGUGUUGAAAUGAAGUAUAAGGAUACAGACAACUGAAUUCUGUUUGUUCUCAUUGUUCAGCCUGGAUGAGGAAAAAUGUAGAGAAUGACUUAGCAAAAAACGAUUGUUUUGGAAUGUUAAUACAUUGAUGAAAUAUAGUACACCGCCUUUCCUAUA